rnacentral:lncRNA from 1 species
AGCACUAACACUCAGGAGAAGGUCUGCCUCUGUCUGCGCCUUCCUGGUUCAAUGCAGGCAGAUGAGUGUCACAGAUGUAACUGAGGCACUGAAUAAUCAACAUAUCGGAGCCAAUUCCCAGGACGGCAAGAGGGGGAACCGGCAGAGAUGACUGACCCUGGAGGACAAGAGCAUUCUUCUGACAAGUUUUAGCAUGGACUAUCCUCAGGAAAAUGAGAUCCAGGAAGAGUGACGCCCUCCUCGAACUGAAAGGU